rnacentral:rRNA from 1 species
AACGAACGCUGGCGGCAUGCCUAACACAUGCCAGUCGAACGAGACCUUCGGGUCUAGUGGCGCACGGGUGCGUAACGCGUGGGAACCUGCCCUUAGGUUCGGAAUAACUCCCCGAAAGGGGUGCUAAUACCGGAUAAUGUCUUCGGACCAAAGAUUUAUCGCCUUUGGAUGGGCCCGCGUUGGAUUAGCUAGUUGGUAGGGUAAAAGCCUACCGAGGCGACGAUCCAUAGCUGGUCUGAGAGGAUGAUCAGCCACACUGGGACUGAGACACGGCCCAGACUCCUACGGGAGGCAGCAGUAGGGAAUAUUGGACAAUGGGCGAAAGCCUGAUCCAGCAAUGCCGCGUGAGUGAUGAAGGCCUUAGGGUUGUAAAGCUCUUUUACCCGGGAUGAUAAUGACAGUACCGGGAGAAUAAGCUCCGGCUAACUCCGUG